GGAUGCGAUCAUACCAGCACUAACGCACCGGAU
rnacentral:rRNA from 1 species